rnacentral:rRNA from 1 species
UACGUAGGGGCCGAGCGUUUGUCCGGAGUUAUUGGGCGUAAAGCGCGCGCAGGCGGCCUCGCGCGCCCGACGUGAAAGCCCCCGGCUUAACCGGGGAGGGUCGUUGGGGACGGCGGGGCUUGAGGGCGGGAGAGGGUGGUGGAAUUCCCGGUGUAGUGGUGAAAUGCGUAGAGAUCGGGAGGAACACCCGUGGCGAAGGCGGCCACCUGGGCCGACCCUGACGCUGAGGCGCGAAGGCGUGGGGAGCGAACGGGG